rnacentral:rRNA from 1 species
CCAAGGAGUCUAACCUGUGCGCGAGUCGUGGGGCAAGGUUGAGAAGCCCUCUUUCCACGGCGCAGUGAAAGCGAGAGGAACGGUUUCCGUUCCGCAGCCCGCGCGAUCCCGGCCGAGCCCCCUUAAAAGGGCGGAGCUGGGCGCAGCGCGGACCCGUGCCAGUCGCUUCUUGCCGACGGCACGGAGUUGGAGCGUACACGUUGGGACCCGAAAGAUGGUGAUCUAUGCCAGGGCAGGGCGAAGCCAGAGGAAACUCUGGUGGAAGCCCGCCGCGAUUCUGACGUGCAAAUCGAUCGUCUGACCUUGGCAUAGGGGCGAAAGACUAAUCGAACCAUCUA